rnacentral:rRNA from 1 species
UACGGAGGGUGCGAGCGUUAAUCGGAAUUACUGGGCGUAAAGAGCACGUAGGUGGUUUGGUAAGUCGGAUGUGAAAGCCCCGGGCUUAACCUGGGAAUUGCAUUCGAAACUGCCUCACUAGAGUCUAGCAGAGGGAUGCGGAAUUCCGGGUGUAGCGGUGAAAUGCGUAGAGAUCCGGAGGAACAUCAGUGGCGAAGGCGGCAUCCUGGCUCAAGACUAGACUGACAU